GAGGAAUAUUGGGCAAUGCCCGCAAGGGUGACCCAGCAACGCCGCGUGGAGGAUGAAUGUCGUAAGAUUGUAAACUCCUGUUAGAGGGGAAGAAUAGUACCGGUUGGACCGGUAUAUGACUGUACCCUCAGAGAAAGCCCCGGCUAACUACGUGCCAGCAGCCGCGGUAAUACGUAGGGUGCGAGCGUUAUCCGGAUUUACUGGGUUUAAAGGGUGCGUAGGUGGGCUUAUAAGUCAGUGGUGAAAUCUCCGAGCUUAACUUGGAAACUGCCGUUGGUACUAUAGGUCUUGAAUUAUCUGGAGGUAAGCGGAAUAUGUCAUGUAGCGGUGAAAUGCUUAGAUAUGACAUAGAACACCAAUUGCGAAGGCAGCUUACUACAUAUAAAUUGACGCUGAGGCACGAAAGCGUGGGGAUCAAACA
rnacentral:rRNA from 1 species